CCUACGGGAGACAGCAGUGGGGGAUAUUGCACAAUGGGGGGUACCCUGAUGCAGCGACGCCGCGUGGGUGAAGGAGCGUUUCGGCGCGUAAAGCCCUAUCGGCAGGGAAGAAGGAGGACGGUACCUGACUAAGAAGCCCCGGCUAACUACGUGCCAGCAGCCGCGGUAAUACGUAGGGGGCAAGCGUUAUCCGGAUUUACUGGGUGUAAAGGGGGCGCAGACGGCAGCGCAAGCCAGGAGUGAAAGCCCGGGGCCCAACCCCGGGACUGCUCUUGGAACUGCGCGGCUGGAGUGCAGGAGGGGCAGGCGGAAUUCCUGGUGUAGCGGUGAAAUGCGUAGAUAUCAGGAGGAACACCGGCGGCGAAGGCGGCCUGCUGGACCGCGACUGACGUUGAGGCUCGAAAGCGUGGGGAGCGAACAGGAUUAGAUACCCCUGUAGUC
rnacentral:rRNA from 1 species